AGGGAGCGUAGGCCGGAGAUUAAGCGUGUUGUGAAAUGUAGAUGCUCAACAUCUGAACUGCAGCGCGAACUGGUUUCCUUGAGUACGCACAAAGUGGGCGGAAUUCGUGGUGUAGCGGUGAAAUGCUUAGAUAUCACGAAGAACUCCGAUUGCGAAGGCAGCUCACUGGAGCGCAACUGACGCUGAAGCUCGAAAGUGCGGGUAUCGAACAGGAUUAGAUACCCUGGUAGUCCGCACGGUAAACGAUGGAUGCCCGCUGUUGGUCUGAACAGGUCAGCGGCCAAGCGAAAGCAUUAAGCAUCCCACCUGGGGAGUACGCCGGCAACGGUGAAACUCAAAGGAAUUGACGGGGGCCCGCACAAGCGGAGGAACAUGUGGUUUAAUUCGAUGAUACGCGAGGAACCUUACCCGGGCUUGAAUUGCAGAGGAAGGAUUUGGAGACAAUGACGCCCUUCGGGGCCUCUGUGAAGGUGCUGCAUGGUUGUCGUCAGCUCGUGCCGUGAGGUGUCGGCUUAAGUGCCAUAACGAGCGCAACCCCUCUCCUUAGUUGCCAUCAGGUGAAGCUGGGCACUCUGGGGACACUGCCACCGUAAGGUGUGAGGAAGGUGGGGAUGACGUCAAAUCAGCACGGCCCUUACGUCCGGGGCUACACACGUGUUACAAUGGCAGGUACAGAGAGACGGUCCCUUGCAAAAUGGAUCAAAUCCUUAAAGCCUGUCUCAGUUCGGACUGGGGUCUGCAACCCGACCCCACGAAGCUGGAUUCGCUAGUAAUCGCGCAU
rnacentral:rRNA from 1 species